UACGAAGGGGGCUAGCGUUGCUCGGAAUCACUGGGCGUAAAGCGCACGUAGGCGGCUUUUUAAGUCAGGGGUGAAAUCCUGGAGCUCAACUCCAGAACUGCCUUUGAUACUGAGGAGCUCGAGUCCGGGAGAGGUGAGUGGAACUGCGAGUGUAGAGGUGAAAUUCGUACAUAUUCGCAAGAACACCAGUGGCGAAGGCGGCUCACUGGCCCGGUACUGACGCUGAGGUGCGAAAGCGUGGGGAGCAAACAGG
rnacentral:rRNA from 1 species